rnacentral:rRNA from 1 species
GACGAACCGUGCGAACGUUGUUCGGAAUCACUGGGCUUAAAGGGCGCGUAGGCGGGUGUGCAAGUCUGUGGUGAAAGCCUCCAGCUUAACUGGAGAAGUGCCAUGGAUACUGCACAUCUUGAGGAGGGUAGGGGCAUCUGGAACGGUCGGUGGAGCGGUGAAAUGCGUUGAUAUCGACCGGAACUCCGGUGGCGAAGGCGAGGUGCUGGACCCUUCUGACGCUGAGGCGCGAAAGCCAGGGGAGCAAACGGG